GAUGAAGAACGCGGCGAAAUGCGAUACGUAAUGUGAAUUGCAGAAUUCAGUGAAUCAUCGAGUCUUUGAACGCACAUUGCGCCCUCUGGUAUUCCGGAGGGCAUGCCUGUCCGAGCGUCAUUGCUGCCCUCAAGCACGGCUUGUGUGUUGGGCUCCGUCCCCCGAUCCCGGGGGACGGGCCCGAAAGGCAGCGGCGGCACCGCGUCCGGUCCUCGAGCGUAUGGGGCUUUGUCACCCGCUCUGUAGGCCCGGCCGGCGCUUGCCGAUCAACCAAAUUUUUAUCCAGGUUGACCUCGGAUCAGGUAGGGAUACCCGCUGAACUUAAGCAUAUCAAUAAGCGGAGGA
rnacentral:misc_RNA from 1 species